GGGAAGGCUUUGCGGGCGCGCCGCGGGCUCGGCUGUGUUGGUUUCACACGGCGCGCGCGCAGCGCCGUCCAGCGGUCGGCCCCGCGGCUCCUCCCAGCCGGAGGGGUGCGGCCGGCGGGAGCGCGAGCGGCACCGGCGUCUUGGAGGCCCCGCAGGUGCUAGAAGUUAAAGAACUUUUGUCUGGGAAUAGAAGUUGGUUGGACUCGUGUUUCUCUUUAGGAUUCACAGAUGGAGUCAGUGGAAAAGACCACGAACAGAAGUGAGCAGAAGUCAAGGAAGUUUUUAAAAAGCCUCAUCAGGAAGCAGCCCCAGGACCUGCUGCUGGUCAUCGGGACUGGCGUGAGUGCGGCCGUGGCCCCAGGAAUCCCCGCGCUCUGCUCCUGGAGGGGCUGCAUCGAGGCUGUCAUCGAGGCUGCGGAGCAGCUGGAGGUGCUACACCCCGGGGACGUGGCCGAAUUCCGCAGGAAGGCGAUGAAGGACCGGGACCUGCUGGUUGUGGCCCAUGAUCUGAUCCGGAAGAUGUCACCUCGCACAGGUGACACCAAGCCCAACUUCUUCCAGGAUUGCCUAAUGGAAGUUUUUGACAGCCUGGAGCAGCACAUCCAGAACCCUGUGGUGCUGCAGUCCAUCCUCAGCCUGAUGGACAGGGGCACCUUGGUGCUGACCACUAACUAUGACAACCUGCUGGAGAUCUUUGGACAGCAGCAGAACAAGCCCAUGGAGUCCCUGGACUUGAAGGACAAGACCAAGGUCCUGCAGUGGGCAAGAGGCCACAUCAAGUAUGGAGUUCUUCACAUUCAUGGCUUAUACACAGACCCCUGUGGGAUGGUGUUGGAUCCAUCAGGAUAUAAAGAUGUCACUCAAGACCCAGAAGUAAUGGAAGUCCUACAAAACCUGUACCGCACCAAGUCGUUUCUGUUUGUGGGCUGUGGAGAGACCCUCCGAGACCAGAUAUUCCAAGCUCUCUUCCUGUACUCGGUGCCAAAUAAGGUGGACUUAGAGCAUUACAUGGUGGUGCUCAAGGAAAAUGAAGACCAUUUCUUUAAGCAUCAAGCAGAUAUGCUUCUGCAUGGGAUUAAAGUUGUGUCGUAUGGGGACUGCUUUGACCAUUUCCCAGGAUACGUGCAAGACCUUGCCACUCAGAUCUGCAAGCAGCAAAGUCCAGAUGCUGAGCGAGUGGACAGCACCACCUUAUUGGGUGAGGCAACUCCUAGCUGUGAGUCCCUAUAACAAUCAAAAAUGAAAAUGUACAAACUCCAGCGUACAGGUGGCAGAAUAAACACUCAUUGUUCCAAAAGGAAGGAAUCGGGUAAUGAAAAGGAGGGAUUAGACAAAGCAAGAUCCAAACCCAGCAGGGCAAACAGUAAUGCAUGUCAGGAUUGUGCAAAGAGGAAGUUGGAAGAGAACGGAAUUGAAGUUUCAAAAAAAAUCAGACAAUCAGAUACGGAUGAUGCUGGAGGGUCUUGAAAACUUUAGCUAAAGCCUGAAAGUUGAAAACCAGCCUUCUGUAACCACAGUGCCAUGCCCAAGCAAUGAGGAAUGUACAGAGGACUCCAUAUAGAUCUCAGUCCUAAAAUGCCACAUACCCCAAGACAGCCAUGUGGGUGUGUGGCCCUCGAGGUUGAAUGACAGCUCCACUGUAUAUGUUUAGCUGCUCAGGAGGUGACAUGGACACACUUCAGAUAUACUCUGUAGGGACUAAUGGUCAGCUACCUCAGGGACCAAAUUGGGGUCGGGACUGGUGGGGUGUACCUGACAUUGUUUCCUGUUCCCAUUGGAAUGCUGUCCCUCAUCGGAGUGUUAUUUCCCCAAUAAAAGGGCCAGAGUGAAAGAUUGUCCACGCAACAGAGUUGCCAAAGAGCAAAGACUUCGACGUUUAUGUGUCAUACCUUAGUGGAAACAUCUUUUACUGUAGAAAAACUUUGGAGGAUGCAUUGUUACAUUGUUAAAUAGUAAAUAAAUGGAUAGCAGCACACUGACUCCAUCAGUAGAGAUGGAUGACCAGAGCAAUAGAGUUUCUUUGGAAUGACAACAUUUUAGUCAUUUCUGUUCCAAAGAAAUGGCAGGCCUUUCUGUUGUGAGGUCCAGAGAGCCAGAGGACCUUUCCAGAAGGGCUUCAAUGUUGUUCAAACCCACGAUGUGUCUUAUAAGCUAAGAAAGUAAAAGCGAAGCAUAAGAUGAGGCUUUAAACUUUCAGUUAGGUUUUAAGUUCCAAGUUUUCCAUGUUUUCUUUAGGGUUAGGUCCAGCCUUUCUGUCCUGUCUCUUCAGAUUCUCUUCCCACAGUUCAUACUAGGGAUGUACAUGCAGUGAGGUCGGCAAAACUUGCAAAAGGCCUGCCACAUUCUAAAUGCUUUCAGACCAUGCCUGUUUAGAAGCACCUUGCUCAGUGUAUGUACCACAUAUGCCCAGAGUUCAUGACAUGCGGUGAGGGUUACUAAAAGGAAGGCUUCUUUUUUGAAACAAGCCCUGCAUGGUUCUGUUGAGGCUGCCCAUCUGAUAGGACAUUUCUUGCCAAGCCCUCUGCCUGUGACAAUGCCUGGAUGGCACCGUAGCUUCCAAGGGUACAGGAGGAAAGAACAGGAAACAGGCUGAGCCAUAGAAGGAAUGAGGGAGAAACCAGAGGCAUGCUGAAGAUCUCUCCCCUUUCUAAGUGUGGAAAGUAAACCUUAUGUGACUUGGUUAUAAUAAAAUCUUAAAGUCAA